AUGGCGACGGCGGAGGAGGUCGGCAAUGGACUGGAGUUCUUAUCAGAUCUGGUGGAUAGGUUCCCCUUGCUGGAUCUUGCAUCAACCGAUUUCAACUCAGCAGGUGAGCCAGAUACUUGUUUUACACAGUCAGCUGUUGAAUCGAGCAUGGGAGAUAUUGGCGAUGCGCCGCUUACAAUCCAGGUCGCCGAGAACAACGGCUGUGAGGAACUGAGCUUGUCGGCGGCCGAUUCACAACAAUCAACAGGAAAAGAUGACCGUCAGGCCCCCGGGUGGACAAAAAGGGGUUCAUAUUGGGCGAGCCCCUCUGGAAGAGUAUGUGCCCUUGAGAAAACAUUAAGAGGAUAUGCGGAAAAGAGAACAGAUACCGUUCUAGUACCAGCUGUUGGAUACAACUUCGGUUCAUUGGGAGAGGCGUACGACUCCUAUAACCUAUAUUCGUGGGAAAUUGGGUUGGGAAUAAGAUACGGAAAAAGUAGGCUCAACGUCGAGAGAACCAAAUGCAUGCAAGAGAUAGUAUGUGGAUGCUCCCAAGCUGCCCCAUGCACAUAUGAAGGCAAUAUAUGA
rnacentral:rRNA from 1 species